rnacentral:rRNA from 1 species
UGGGGAAUAUUGCACAAUGGGCGAAAGCCUGAUGCAGCGACGCCGCGUGAGGGAUGACGGCCUUUGGGUUGUAAACCUCUUUCAGCAGGGACGAAGCGCAAGUGACGGUACCUGCAGAAGAAGCACCGGCUAACUACGUGCCAGCAGCCGCGGUAAUACGUAGGGUGCAAGCGUUGUCCGGAAUUACUGGGCGUAAAGAGUUCGUAGGCGGUUUGUCGCGUCGUUUGUGAAAACCAGCAGCUCAACUGCUGGCUUGCAGGCGAUACGGGCAGACUUGAGUACUGCAGGGGGGACUGGAAUUCCUGGUGUAGCGGUGAAAUGCGCAGAUAUCAGGAGGAACACCGGUGGCGAAGGCGGGUCUCUGGGCAGUAACUGACGCUGAGGAACGAAAGCGUGGGUAGCGAACAGG